AUUGAACGCUGGCGGCAGGCUUAACACAUGCAAGUCGAGCGGGGAAAGGUAGCUUGCUACUUUACCUAGCGGCGGACGGGUGAGUAAUGCUUAGGAAUCUGCCUAUUAGUGGGGGACAACAUCUCGAAAGGGAUGCUAAUACCGCAUACGUCCUACGGGAGAAAGCAGGGGACCUUCGGGCCUUGCGCUAAUAGAUGAGCCUAAGUCGGAUUAGCUAGUUGGUGGGGUAAAGGCCUACCAAGGCGACGAUCUGUAGCGGGUCUGAGAGGAUGGUCCGCCACACUGGGACUGAGACACGGCCCAGACUCCUACGGGAGGCAGCAGUGGGGAAUAUUGGACAAUGGGGGGAACCCUGAUCCAGCCAUGCCGCGUGUGUGAAGAAGGCCUUUUGGUUGUAAAGCACUUUAAGCGAGGAGGAGGCUACCGAGAUUAAUACUCUUGGAUAGUGGACGUUACUCGCAGAAUAAGCACCGGCUAACUCUGUGCCAGCAGCCGCCGCCGUA
rnacentral:rRNA from 1 species